rnacentral:rRNA from 1 species
UACAGAGGGUGCGAGCGUUAUUCGGAAUUACUGGGCGUAAAGGGUGUGUAGGUGGAUAGGUAAGUUAGAUGUGAAAUCCCCGGGCUUAACCUGGGAACUGCGUUUAAAACUGCUUAUCUAGAGUAAUGUAGAGGAUAGUGGAAUUUCCAGUGUAGCGGUGAAAUGCGUAGAUAUUGGAAGGAACACCAGUGGCGAAGGCGACUAUCUGGACAGAUACUGACACUGAGACACGAAAGCGUGGGGAGCAAACAGG